rnacentral:rRNA from 1 species
GCUGGAAUCGCUAGUAAUCGCGGAUCAGAAUGCCGCGGUGAAUACGUUCCCGGGUCUUGUACACACCGCCCGUCACACCAUGGGAGUCGGAAAUGCCCGAAGUCUGUGACCUAACCGAGAGGGAGGUGCAGCCGAAGGCAGGUCUGAUGACUGGGGUGAAGUCGUAACAAGGUACC